rnacentral:rRNA from 1 species
CUAGCUUGAGCGAUUUGUAUAAACAAUGAAUCGAAAUAACCAGAUCUUCUUUGAACUAGGUCUGUCAGUAGCGGGUAGCUGUUUAAAGUCAAAUUAGGGGUGAUAAAUAAAUCGGUGGUUAUUAUAUCUAUUUUAGGGGUAAAGCUUUCGGUUAAGGGGCUGGGUGAAGAGAUCUAGCCUCGUUUUAUAUCUUGUGUGUCUGUCUUAUUUCCUAGGGUUAGGGUUACCCGUGGGGUUUUAUAAUGUUAUAAUUUCUCUAUAAUAGUCUUGCGAUUAGACCAAACCCCCUAUCUAUUAACUUUUGUCAGUUAUUUAUGGGUUAAUUAGUAAUUAUAUCAGUCCCUUUUUAUCUCGGACCUGGUCCGACUGUUUAUUAAAAACAUUUCCACCCGUUAGGGUUGGGUGGUGUAACCUGCCCUGUGAUUAGUUUAACGGCCGCAGUAUUGUGACUGUGCGAAGGUAGCAUAAUUAAUUGCCCCGUAAUUGGGGGCUUGUUUGAAUGGUUUAACGUGAUCAGUGUUUAAAAUAGGGUCUUUAGGUGAAGUUAAUUUGACGAGUACAGAAUCUGUCGAGUUUAGUAAGACGGAAAGACCCCAGGAUCUUUUAUUUUUGUUUGGGGCGAAUUUUGUUGUUUCAACAAUUUUAGGACCCUCGGUUUAAAGGUUUAAGUUACCCUGGGGAUAACAGGGUUAUAGUCCAUUAGAGUCCGAAUCGAGUGGACUGUUUGCUACCUCGAUGUUGACUUGGGUGUGUCAUUAGGGGCGCAGUUGUUCUUAGUGUCGGUCUGUUCGACCGCAUAGGCCCUCAUGAGUUGAGUUAAGACCGGCGUAA